rnacentral:rRNA from 1 species
ACGUCCUACGGGACGCAGCAGUGGGGAAUAUUGGGCAAUGGGCGCAAGCCUGACCCAGCAACGCCGCGUGAAGGAAGAAGGCUUUCGGGUUGUAAACUUCUUUUGUCAGGGACGAAGCAAGUGACGGUACCUGACGAAUAAGCCACGGCUAACUACGUGCCAGCAGCCGCGGUAAUACGUAGGUGGCAAGCGUUAUCCGGAUUUACUGGGUGUAAAGGGCGUGUAGGCGGGACUGCAAGUCAGAUGGGAAAACCACGGGCUCAACCUGUGGCCUGCAUUUGAAACUG